GUUUUUUUAGGUUUUGAUUUU
rnacentral:miRNA from 3 species